GGAGCUGCGGGUUCGCUUUGCGCAUGCGCAUGCUCCUCCGGCUAGGGCAGCUCCGCUGAUAACUGUUCUCCAGAAAUGGGGAAAAGAAGCGGUUUUAGAACUCGGAUUCGGCGAAGCUGACAAGAAAGCGGGUUGGGCAAUGACGGGUUCGCUUGGUUCCGGCAUGAGGUUCCUCGACUGCCUAGCGCGCUAUGAGCGGAGGUGGCCAGAUGCAAAAGGCUACAGCUGUGAAGAACAUUUGCAAAGUGCAGUUUAUUUUGUGCUGCUAAAGCUGAAGUACUCUUGGGAGAAAAACUAGCACUGCAAGUUAAGUUAGGAAGAAUAAUUCUGGGUUGUCCGUGUGCUGGGAGGCAUACUUGUUUGUUUGUUUUUUAAUUUUAUGAGCAUGCUCCUUUUCUCUUGACUUACUUAUUCCUUAGCGGGCUCUGGUGCUGA